AGAGCCCGAGCGGGGUCCGGGCGCUGGGGAACGGGAUGGCAGGAACCUCCAGCCAAAGCCAUCGGUAGCCUGGCGUAAAAACGCUUGGAGGCGUUGGGCUGCGUCCAGGAUUGCUGGAUUUCCGGGGCGCGGGGGUGGGUUUCUUUUAUUUAUUUAUUUACUGGCUUAUUUACUUACUUUUAUUUCUUUUCAGAGUCACUUGUUGAAGCAGGAGGGCAAGAAGUUAUUGGAAAUGGCAAAGAAGAGCACUGAUGACCAGGUGGCAUCUUGGGGACAGGCAGGAGGAUGAUCUCUGCAUUAGAAACCCACCUCUGGACUCAUCCCUGAAGCAUGGGCCCCACAUUACUCAGCACUGACCCCCAAGAUGCUGAACAGUGGUGGCUGGGAACAAGCGAAGACCUAGUCAGCUGAGACGUGUGAAGCAGGCUCACCCGUCCAAACACUCGUCCAGCUUUGCUGCGGAUCAGUUCCAGACUGUCGGGGUUCUUCUUCUGAGGCAUCAGGCUGCUGCCAGUGCUGAAGGAAAGGAGACUCUGCUGCUGCCCUGAUCGGUGUCUGUCAAAGAGCAAGCCAAGAAGUCUCCAGCCCCAGCAAGGCCAAGGCCAUGGAUAUGGAAAAGGACUUACAUGGCAGCACGUUCCACCAGGGUCUUAAUGAGCUGCAGGAGUGUGCAGCUUUCCAGCUAUGUCUCCAAUCAGCUCCUGAGGACAAAAGGAGGAUUUCUAUCAGCAUCUCUGUAUUCUAUGAAGGCGACUCCACAUGAGCAGACCUCCUCCCUGCCUGGAAGGGACUCAGCGCUAGGAUCCUUGACUGUCUCCACAUGUCUGCCAAUCCCUGCUGAAACAAUGUGCCCUAGAGGACAGCCGGAGAGAGCCUACAGAGUUUCUCCCAGGUAGAGGGAAGAACCUGAAGGCAACGGCAGGCUGCUUAGCCGGGGACUUUGAUUUUAACUCGGUUUGAGCUCGCGUCUGCCAGACCACCCUCGAGACUAACCCGCCGGAGAAGCAAAGUUCAC